GCUUUACAUGGAAUCUCCAAGGGAAUCAGAGUCAUCCAAAGACAGAGGCAGAUACAAGUCUACCUUGUGCUUACGGAGACUCCCUGGGCUGGUAGGUGUGGAGAUUGGGGACUGCUUGGAUUUGGGCGUAGACAGCUGACUGCUCGAGGUCCCAUUUGCUGAAUCAGCUGGAGACUUGCUCCGGCGCAUAGGGGCUGGACUCUUUGCUGAGCUCUUCUGAGGGGUGGGAGAUGACUUACUACCUGUGGCAGCUGCAGGGCUCCCUUUCAUCACCCGGCACUCGCUUUCAUCCAGAGAAAAGUCAUCCUGUGCAUAGCGGAAUUUUUCGGGACCACAGGCAAUAAACACAUCAUCAUCCCCAAAGAAAUCGUGGAGACAGGUCACCUGCUUUCCAUCCAGAGUAUACAGCUUUUUGACCACUCCUGUCUCCAGCUUUAUAGCUUCAGUGAUAUCAGUGAGAACUUGCUCAAACGAAUGGGCCGUCUUCUUGUUCAAGAGCACGCGAACUGCCUUCCGGGGCUUCACCCCACUACGGAUGAUGGUUACCAGCUUGGGACGCACAAAAUCUUUGUUCUCCUUUGCCUGGGCGCUGUUGCUGCUGGCCAGAGACUGUGGUGCUUUCUGGUUAGCAGAUGUUUUCACAUUGACAGACCAGUUGGGAUUGACGUUCUUUGUGUAUUCCACCUUCUUGAAGAAGUUGUCAGAUGAGCAUACGUAACUCUCCCCUUCCUCCAGCUCAUCCAUGCUUCCAAUCUUCCGCGAUCCAUCAAUGGUGUAAAUGUAACGGACUCCCUGAGGCAGAUUAAUGUUGUCAGACAGGGACCGGGUCAGGUCAGCCAGGAGAGCAUCAAAACUUCGGAAGCGGUCGGAAGACACAGCAUAUACAAUUCCCUUGAAGUAGCGGUCCCCGUUGCGAUAGAAACGCACCUUCUUGGCUUUCUUCUCAUUACUCAGUGCCUGUAAGGUCCUGGUUCUGUAGAAGCUACAAUGAGCACUGUGAGUGGGGCUGGGCAACCCAUUCAUACGUGUGCCUCGCAUGUUUCUGGACGCCUUGUCUCGUUCGUCAAAGUGUCCAAAAUCAAGUUCCAUAGUUUGGUGAACCCUAAAGAUCUGAAGCUGAGCAGGAAGAUGGGGAGAAAAGGAAUGUGAAGAGGAUAGGUUAGAGCC
rnacentral:lncRNA from 1 species